rnacentral:lncRNA from 1 species
UAAUGGGGUUCUGUGUUCACAGCUGAGUUAUUUAAACUGUCUGAUUUGGUCCACAGCUUCCUUGGACAUUAAUAGGUUGACUGCUAUGUCGCUGAACUUGGUGCAUGAAAGGUCAGCCUUUGAAACGCUAAAUAAGUUGAAGAAGAUGUAUGAAGUAUAUAUGGAAAAGUAUGCAUCCUACAGUAGCAUUUGUAUUAAAGGACCGCUUUGUGGGAGAAAACAGAGAGCCUGCCAAAAUUUGGACUCUUUGAUGUGCUCUGGAAAGAAAAACAAUGCUAUCUAUCCAAGUAAUCUGAAAGGAACAAAAAUAUGGCAUUAUAAGGCACGGAUUUCUUGAGAGGAACAAUCAAUGCGUAUCGCAAUUAAGGAUGGUCAUGAAUUUUUGAAUACUU